rnacentral:miRNA from 1 species
GGCCACUGAGUCAGCACCA